rnacentral:rRNA from 1 species
AGAGCCCAGCUUGAGAAUCGAGCGUCCUCGACGUUCGAAUUGUAGUCUGGAGAAGCGUCCUCAGCGGCGGACCGGGCCCAAGUCCCCUGGAAAGGGGCGCCGGAGAGGGUGAAAGCCCCGUCGCGCCCGGACCCUGUCGCAUCACGAGGCGCUGUCUGCGAGUCGGGUUGUUUGGGAAUGCAGCCCAAAUCGGGCGGUAAAUUCCGUCCAAGGCUAAAUACGGGCGAGAGACCGAUAGCAAA